rnacentral:rRNA from 1 species
UGCAGCGACGCCGCGUGCGGGAUGAAGGCCUUCGGGUUGUAAACCGCUUUCAGGAGGGACGAAAAUGACGGUACCUCCAGAAGAAGCCCCGGCCAACUACGUGCCAGCAGCCGCGGUAACACGUAGGGGGCGAGCGUUGUCCGGAUUUAUUGGGCGUAAAGGGCUCGUAGGCGGCUUGGAAAGUCGGUCGUGAAAACCCGGGGCUCAACCCCGGGACGCCGGUCGAAACUUCCAUGGCUAGUGUCCGGUAGAGGUGAGUGGAAUUCUCGGUGUAGCGGUGAAAUGCGUAGAUAUCGGAAGGAACACCAGUGGCGAAGGCGACUUCCUGGACCAAUACUGACGCUGAGGUGCGAAAGCGUGGGGAGCGUACAGGAUUAGAUACCCUGGUAGUCCACGCCGUAAACGAUGAGAACUAGAUGUUGGGAGGAUUUGCCUUUCAGUGUCGCAGCUAACGCAUUAAGUUCUCCGCCUGGGGAGUACGCCGGCAACGGUAAAACUCAAAGGAAUUGACGGGGACCCGCACAAGCGGUGGAGCAUGUGGUUUAAUUCGAUGCAACGCGAAGAACCUUACCUGGCCUUGACAUCCUCGGAACUUUCCAGAGAUGGAUUGGUGCCUUCGGGAACCGAGUGACAGGUGCUGCAUGGCUGUCGUCAGCUCGUGUCGUGAGAUGUUGGGUUAAGUCCCGCAACGAGCGCAACCCUUGUCCUUAGUUGCCAGCA